AGAGUUUGAUCCUGGCUCAGGAUGAACGCUAGCGGCAGGCUUAACACAUGCAAGUAGAACGGUAACAGAGGGAGCUUGCUCCUUGCUGACGAGUUGCGAACGGGUGCGUAACGCGUAUGCAACCUACCCAUAACAGAGGGAUAGCCCAUAGAAAUGUGGAUUAAUACCUCAUAAUAUCAUUGAUUGGCAUCAUGAAAUGAUUAAAACUCAGGUGGUUAUGGAUGGGCAUGCGUGACAUUAGCUAGUUGGUGAGGUAACUGCUCACCAAGGCUACGAUGUCUAGGGGUUCUGAGAGGAUGAUCCCCCACACUGGUACUGAGACACGGACCAGACUCCUACGGGAGGCAGCAGUGAGGAAUAUUGCGCAAUGGAGGAAACUCUGACGCAGCCAUGCCGCGUGCAGGAUGACGGCCCUAUGGGUUGUAAACUGCUUUUAUAUAGGAAGAACUGCAGAUACGUGUAUCUGUUUGACGGUACUAUACGAAUAAGGACCGGCUAACUCCGUGCCAGCAGCCGCGGUAAUACGGAGGGUCCGAGCGUUAUCCGGAUUUAUUGGGUUUAAAGGGUCCGUAGGCGGGUUAUUAAGUCAGUGGUGAAAUCCUACAGCUCAACUGUAGAACUGCCAUUGAAACUGGUAACCUUGAAUAUAAUUGAAGUGGGCGGAAUGUGUCAUGUAGCGGUGAAAUGCUUAGAUAUGCCACAGAACACCGAUUGCGAAAG
rnacentral:rRNA from 1 species